GUUGAUCUGUUCCCUACCGUAAUCACUUCAAAAAACACGAACUACAAUGAAACCAUUUAUACUACAUCAUAAAAUGUUCAAGUCAAGAGGUAGUGGGAAAUUCAGGCACACUAGGGGAAGAAAAUCAUGUGGUUCAGGCAGGACAGCAGGAUGUGAGUCAACACUGUUUUACGCCCCAUCAGCUCAUCAUGUAAAGAUGCCCUGACAGGAUAUCACAGCGGCGCAUCUGAAUCAAUAUUAAGGGGAUGGAAAGGACGGAGCUCCAACCAGAUAACAUAAUUACCUCUUAUUACUGCCACAUGUCGUGGAAUCACAAGCAAAAGAGAAAGUGGAAAUUUGGUUACACCUCGUUAGCAUCGCGCUGCCUGCUGAAAAUGAGCCUUUUAAAUCUACGAAAGGAAGGGGUCCUCUUCCACGGAGUCCACAAUGUUUCAGGGCCCUUGAAUACAUUAUUCAAAUUGAGGAGGCAGCAAUACGAACGUUACAGAGAACGCUGCACAACCUAAGAAAAUCUGGAUAAUAUGAAAUACCGAAAAAAAAGACAUAUAUUGGGAAAAAAAAUCUUCUAAGAAUGUGACAAAGAACAUGAGAGAUCGACAUAGAAAGGUGAGGAGAAAUUUUGGUUAUGGUGUUAGUAAACCUUGAUGUGCCUCAUUAUCAAAAGUUUCUCAUACUAAAAAAAUGGUUUCUUUUUUGUGUUUUUAAACAACAAACUUACAGGAAAAGUCUUAGUUAGUGUUAGAUGAGAAGGUCACUGCACCCCAUAGAGUCAGGAAGUGAUUAGCUUAGCUUAUCAUAAAGAGUGUAAAUGUCUCACAUGUAAAAAAUGACAUGCUGUAUAUUUUGGCUCUUGCUCCAUGUAGAGAGAGUGGUGUGAAUCCUAUACUACAGAAACAGUUUACAAGCAUAUUUUGUAAGAACUUCUUCAAUUUACAUGAGUUUCAGGAUCCUCCUAAACUGACCCUGAAAUCAAACCCUAUUCAUAUCACUGCAGUUUUACUGUGCACACAGCGCGAUUAUGUGAGAGUACAUCUAACAGAGGGUGAGAUGAGGUGACUAUGGAAACUGGAGCUCCUGAAUCCAACAAAAAACAAAACAGACAAACACCUUCAUUUCUCACUGUAGUGCAACGGUUCCAAACAAAGCAUUGCAGCUGAGUCAUGAUAUGAAAGUGAUAACCAUUACAUUUCCUUAUGCUUAAAGUCACAGUGGAAUACCGUCUUCUUGUCUUGUGUCUUCUUUGAA